CUUUAAUUAAUAUUGUUUAUUUUAUAACCGAGUAGGUUUAUAUAAAAUUAAAAGUUAAGUUGUGAUAAAUAAUUCGGUGGUGGUUAUAUCUGUUUAAUAGUUAGUUAUAUAUUUAUAACUUCUUGGCUAUGAUGUCAAGGAUUAGUAAAUAUCUUGUUUACUUUGGUGGUUAACAUAAAGGUUAAAAUUACCUGUUUGUUAUAUAUGUGUUAUAAUUUUAUUUAAACUUUCAUUAGAUUUUUUUUGAUGGCUAUUUAAGGUAUAAAUUUGUUAAUAUCUUUUAUAAUUAAAUAAGUAAUAUUAAUAUGUGGCUUGUUUCUCAUUAGUUGUCCGUCUGUUUAUUAAAAACAUUUCUGCUUAAAAGCAUAAGCAGUAGAACCUGCCCUAUGCUUUUGUAAAUGGCCGCAGUAUCUUGACUGUGCGAAGGUAGCAUAAUUAAUUGCCUUAUAAUUGAAGGCUUGUCUGAAUGGUUUGACGAGAUAAUAUUUAACAUGCUUUAUAUACUUGAAAUUAAUAAUAGGGGCACAGAAUCCCUUUUAUUUAAAUAGACGGAAAGACCCCGGGAUCUUUAUUUUUUAUCUGGGGCAGAUCAUAAUUAUUCAUUAAUGAGUUAGACCCUUAAUAAAAGUUUAUUGGUGUAAGUUACCCCGGGGAUAACAGUGUAAUAGUAAAUUAGAGAUCAUAUCGAGUUUACUGAUUGCUACCUCGAUGUUGACUUAGGUUAAGACUUAUGCGCAGCAGUUUAAGUUUUUGGUCUGUU
rnacentral:rRNA from 1 species